rnacentral:rRNA from 1 species
UACGGAGGAUGCGAGCGUUAUCCGGAUUUAUUGGGUUUAAAGGGUGCGUAGGCGGAGGCGUAAGUCAGUGGUGAAAUACCCUCGCUCAACGAGGGGGCUGCCAUUGAUACUGCGCGUCUGGAGUUCCGUUGCCGUGGGAGGAAUGAGUAGUGUAGCGGUGAAAUGCAUAGAUAUUACUCAGAACACCGAUUGCGAAGGCAUCUCACGAAGCGGCGACUGACGCUGAGGCACGAAAGCGUGGGGAU